rnacentral:rRNA from 1 species
UACGGGGGGAGCAAGCGUUGUUCGGAAUCACUGGGCGUAAAGGGAGUCUAGGCGGUUUGGUAAGUGGGAUGUGAAAUCCCCGGGCUCACCCCGGGACCUGCAUCCCAAACUGCUGAGCUUGAGUACAGGAGAGGGUGGGGGAAUUCCUGGUGUAGCGGUGAAAUGCGCAGAUAUCAGGAGGAACACCGAUGGCGAAGGCAGGUCUCUGGGCCACUACUGACGCUGAGAAGCGAAAGCAUGGGGAGCGAACAGG